rnacentral:snRNA from 1 species
GGAUGUGAGCACAGCCUGGCUGUGACAUCUGUCACUCCACUGAUCACCAGGGUUGAUUUAGUGGGUCUGACUGGCUAGGUGGGUGUUCCUUUCCUCCCUCCUCAUUCCACAUGCAUUCUUCCUAAAGCCGUGCACUCGGACAAAGAGGACGACUUUCCCCAAAUAGAGGAGGAAGACCGGUCUUUGGUCAAGGGUAUAUGAGUAGUUGUGUUCCCCUGCUAGAACCUCCAGACAAGCUCUCAGUAACCAGUAUUAAGAAUAAAAAAAAAAAAAAUGGGCUGGAGAGAUGGCUCAGUGGUUAAGUGCUUGCCUAU